rnacentral:rRNA from 1 species
GACGAACGCUGGCGGCGCGCUUAACACAUGCAAGUCGAACGGAAAGGCCUGCUUUCCCUUGUGGAUUGCGGGUACUCGCGUGGCGAACGGGUGAGUAACACGUGAGUGAUCUGCCCCCAACUUGGGUAUAAGCCUGGGAAACUGGGUCUAAUUCCCGAUAGGACUGCAGGGUGGUGCCUGUGGUGGAAGACGAUUUUCUAGUGGUUGGGGAUGAGCUCGCGGCCUAUCAGCUUGUUGGUGGGGUAAUGGCCUACCAAGGCGGCGACGGGUAGCCGGCCUGGGAGGGUGGACGGGAGCAGGGGGACGGAGAUACGGCGCAGGCGCCUACGCGAGGAAUCAGUGGGGAAGAAGGAGUGGGGGGCGGAAGCCUGAGGCAGGGAGGCUGAGGGGGGGAUGACGGGCUUCGGGUUGUGAACUCCGUUCGACCGCGAGGAAGCCACCUGGUUGGAAGGGUGGUGACGGUAGUGGUAGAAGAAGCACCGGCUAACUACGUG